GACGGAGGUGCAAGCGUUGUUCGGAUUGACUGGGCGUAAAGGGCGUGUAGGCGGUCGGCCAAGUCUGAUGUGAAAGCCCGAGGCUCAGCCUCGGAAGUGCGUCGGAAACUAGUCGGCUGGAGCGCGAUAGAGGAGGGGUGGAAUUCCUGGUGUAGCGGGUGAAAUGCGUAGAGUAUCAGGAGGAACACCGGCGGCGAAGGCGGCCC
rnacentral:rRNA from 1 species